AUGAGGGCUUUGAUGGACACCCAUGGGAAAAAUGAAAAUGUAAAUGACCUCCUACAGCUGUGCAAAUUAUUGGAGAAAUCUUUCAAUCUGGUGCUAUCACAACUGAAAACACUCAAUGAGAAGAUGGACCUUGUUUUUAAAGGAAUAUCUCUUAGUCUGAAACAACCGACACAUUAUGCACCCCUUGAGAAAGAAUCCACUGGGUCUUCUAACCACACUGUGGAGGCGUGCGCAUUAGAUAUAGACGGCGAGGAAGAGGAGAAACUAAAGUUACUCCCUAUAGUGACUCCAUUAGAAAUUAGGGAGAACAAUAGAGAAGAGUUGUCUAGAGAAGUACAAGGACUAGUGAAGCCUGGGCAUGAAAAUAAGGUUCUAGGUCAAUUGAAAGUCCAUCCAUUGAUACCAUCUGAGUCUGCAUCAUCUUUACCACCUACCACCACACACCGCCUGUUAUCUCCAAACCAACUGGCAUUUGAAGUAGCAGACUCGAUGCAGAAUAGGGGUAAAUGGGGAUCAAGGAUAGCGGUUUUAAGGUCUCUUGCCCAAAUCCUAUUUAUGAACCCUGUAGAUAUUAACAUUCAAUCUCUCAAUUGGCUGCACAGAGACUUCCAAUCUCUCAACCGCUCUACGCAUCUCUUGGUUACACUUAAAAACAUGUCCAUCAUUAAGGAGUUACUAAGCUCUAGAGAUCGUCUUGAAGCAUGGGGCAUCCGCAUUAGGAGGGUCUUCUUCGACCCCUGGAUUCGCCCCCUGAUCCCUGACCUACAAUUACAUCCCCUAGAGUUAACAUCUAUUAGUAACCAUACUCUCCCAAAUCCUUUAUACUGGACCCCCCCUAUCUCAGCCAUGUGUCCACGGACCCCCCUAGUUCCCCAUCUCUGUGCCCAUUCAUGUUCUCAACUCCCUCUACAAACGCUUCCUUGUUAUAGUCCAUCUAUUAGUCCACCUAACACCCUAGAGGACUCUCUUCUACUGUUCUCACAAGAUACAUCUCUAGCCACUACGCACGAUAGGUCCCAACAUGGCUCUCCU
rnacentral:lncRNA from 1 species